AAACCAUGAUGAGGACAUUGAGUAAUGUAGCUUUGAAUCUUCCCAUGCUUCACCAAAAGCUUCAAGAUUCCUCUGUUGAAACCAGAGAUCUCAUUCCUUAUCUU